GGUGUUACAAUAGGUCUCCAUAUUUUUUCGUUUUGAGUAAUUUAAUUUUUUUUCUUUUAACUUUCCUUUUAUUUUCUUUUUUUUUUCAUUUUCUUCUGCUUCUCCCUUUGUUUUCCUCCAUUCUCCAUUUUUUUAAUGUAGUUUUUCUAUGUUUUCCAUUUGUUAAAACUAGUCUCUAUACUAUUAUUUUUUUGAACAAUUUAAUUUUUUUCGAGUAAGGCGAACUUGUGGACUAG
rnacentral:lncRNA from 1 species